rnacentral:rRNA from 1 species
UACGAAGGGGCUAGCGUUGCUCGGAAUUACUGGGCGUAAAGCGCACGUAGGCGGCUUUCUAAGUCGGGGGUGAAAUCCUGGAGCUCAACUCCAGAACUGCCUUCGAUACUGGAGAGCUCGAGUCCGGAGAGGUGAGUGGAACUGCGAAUGUAGAGGUGAAAUUCGAUAGAUAUUCGCAAGAACACCAGUGGCGAAAGGCGGCUCACUGGCCCGGUACUGGACGCUGAGGUGGCGAAAGCGA